UUUAUAUUUUUGAUAUUUUAUAUAUUUAAAUGCCAUUUAACAAAGAAAAAUCAACCAAAAAAAUGAGUUCACAUGUCACCUCUGACACACGUGUCAUAGGUUCGCCAUCACUGGGCUAGGGGAUUUUGACAAUGGGUUCUCACUAGCUGCUCCAACCCGGCUUGGUUCAGAAAUGAAAUGGUGCCAGUCAUGAGAGGGGCCAGGCAGGCACCCUAACGCUAUUGGGAGUAAGAGAACGGAUCCAGCUGAUGGGGCCCUGAGGGAAUGCAGGCCCAGGCAGCUGGAUGUUCCUAUUCUUUCUACCUGUUGGCAUGUGAGCUUCCUUUAGUCUCCCCUUUCUCUCACUUGGUUUAUAGUUUUUUGUUUUCCCCUUUCACCCUCUGCUCUGUGCUGGCCACUGGCUCACAGAUGAGCAAGACACCGCUCCCUCCAGGAGCUCAAGGACAGGUGGGGACCCCACUCAAGACUCAAUUCAGUGCCCAGAAUCUGGUAGGGGUUACCAACAGCCCACAACAAGCCCGUGAGACAGGGGGAGGUGGGAAGCAGCUUCUCAGACACUUGGAGGACUAUCAGGGACAGAGCAAGUGUCUGGUAAAGACGGCAUUGCCUAGCAAAGGUGGUGAGGUGCUUAAGUGUGGCUGGGGCAGAGGUGCCAGGGGUGUGGUUUGGGAGCAAGUAAGGCUGAAGAGAAAAUGGCCCAGACCCACCUGGUUUUGCAGGCCCCACAAGGAGUUUUGCUUCAUGCAGAGAUGACCAGGAGCAAUAAAGGGUUUAGGACAGAGGAAUGACAUGGUCAGAUCUGUAUUUUAGAAAUAUCCUUCUGACUACCAUCUGGCCUUGGGGGUUACGUACGAAGUGGAGACAGGGAGACAAGUGGGGAGGUUGCAGUAAGCCAGGCAGGUGAUUGGUGGUGUCCUAGGCUGGGGGAGCCAAUAGGAGGUGGAGAGGAAGAGGAACACAGCUGUCUGUCAGGCCCUGUUCUAAGCACAAUAGGUAGGUGUAUUACCUCAUGUAACCCUCCAAACAACUCUUGGAGAUACUAUUAUUCAUUUUACAAGUAAGGAACCGAGGCUUGGAGAGACUCGGGAACAGUAGUGGGAGAGGGGAAGAGCUUGCUGAUGGGUGAUGAGAGGAGGAAGCAGAAGGGAUCUGCGGGGUUCCAGUCUCUGGCUCCAUAAGAUGAGAGUGCCACCCACGAGACCCCAGCCACAGAAGAGGAUGGGCUGAGGGGUGGAGAAGAGGAGUUUGGUUUGGACAUGUCACCUGGGGGUCUGGGGGCAUCCAAGCAGAGUUGUCCCCUGCAGAGUUGGACAUUUAUUCGGGCCUGAGGCUCCAGGAGAAGAUGAGCUGAAAGUGGAGAUUUGAGGAUCAUGGCACAGCUGUAGUGCUUGAAACCAUGGACAUGGACAAGCUUGCCAGGGAGCAUGUGCCUUGACUUUAAUUAAGCUCAGAGCGUCAGUAACAGAAUCCUACCAAGAACUUACAAACUACAGCAACCUCAACUAUCCAGAAUUCUCGGAAAAAGAGCCACUCUGGAAAACCAACAUUUAUCUGGAUAAAAAUACUUGACGUACAGGAUUACUUACUUUUUUAAAUGUGCUUAUUAUGGAAAUUAUCAAACAGAAAAGUCAAGGGAAGAAUAUAAUGAACCUACCAUCCAACCUGAAGAGUUAUCGAUUCAAGGUCACACGCUGUGCCAUCCACACACCCAUGGUCUGGGGUAUUUGGAAGCAGAUCCUAGACACUAUAUCGAUUCCUUCAGAAAGCUUUGGUACAUUUCUCCAAAAGACAAGACUUUUUAAAAAUAUAACCACAAUAUUCUUACUUCAAAAUAUUUAACAAUAAUUUCUUAAUUUAAUCCAAUAUCCAUCGUCCAAAUCUCCCCAAUUGUCUCAUUCACUCCUCCACCCCCCUUUAGUUGGUUAAAAUUAGGCUUCAAACAAGGUUUACAUAUUGCA